rnacentral:rRNA from 1 species
UGGGGAAUUGUUCGCAAUGGGCGCAAGCCUGACGACGCAACGCCGCGUGGAGGAUGAAGACCUUCGGGUCGUAAAAUCCUUUUGCGCGUGAUCGAGAAAAAGGACGGUAGCGCGCGAAGAAGUCUCGGCUAACUACGUG